rnacentral:snoRNA from 1 species
CCCUACUACAAAGGUGUGUCUGUGGUUUCCUGUCCCUGGACACUUAAGAAUUGGAGGCAAAGAGAGGUGGACUUGGAUGUCUGGAGCCAGCUUGCUCUCCGCAGGCUCAAGAUCACCCUUUGACACAC